GGAGAAUACAGAUAUUUAAGAUCGUCUGCAUGAAAAAAGGGAAGGUAGGAAGGGUGUCACACUUGUUUCUCCAGCCAAGUUGUAAACUCAGCCAGAGUUUUGUCCGUGGUUUCUCCCACAAAGCCUUUAGGCUUGUCUCGUUUUUUCUCACUUCGAGAUGUUAUGAAAUGCUUGUCCCAGCAGAUGGCAGAAGAGAACCGAAUUAGGAAAAAACAGCCCAGACAUUUCAACGCGCACAGGGAGCCGAGGGAGAAAGCCUUCACGCCCCGAUGUGCAUCUGAAGUAGCCCUGGACAUUGACUCACCAUCGUUAUUGAACUUUCCCAGCGAAGAAUCUCCCAGAGAAAGAAGAAGGAGUUAUGCAUCCAUGCUAUGUGAAAAGAGAAGAGGAUUUUAGAAUCAGAAAGGUCUGGAAACGCAUCCCAACUCUGAUGCCUCCUGGCUGCAUGUGCUUCGGGCAGCUUAUUCAUCAGCAGCAAUGGAGGAAAUAAGACUAUACUGAGACGCCUAAGUUGGAAGAGUUGAGAAGGUUAAAUGAGAAAACACGUGAUGAAGUAUCAGGACACCUUACUGAUUUCUGUAUUAUCGAGUUCUUUUGAGAGCCGUAGCACCAUCUAUUCUUCUGAACACAGGACUCAUUGAUCAGCAACGCACUGAAGGGCAUUCUGGGAUACUCUGUGUUCCAGACGCAGAAAUGGACAAUUCACUUACUACUCUUUUAUUCACUAAAAAGUGAUUAAGCAUAUAUUCUGUGUUAGGGAUUCAACUUGGAGCUGGGGAUAUAUAAAUGAAUGGUGGGUCUCAGUUUAGAGGGGAAAACAGACAAAUAAGACUAUUGUUGUGAGAUCUGUAAGGGCAAAAAUAGAGUGGUGAGCGUGUCCCAGGAGAGUAUCUAAAUGGGAUUCUCAGGAAAUGCCGGAGAGGGGUGUGUGUUGGGGAGAAAGUCAUGGUGGGAAGUGGGGGCAGCUGAAAGCCUGAAAGGCCAACUAGAAGUAGACCAUGUGAGCAAGGAAAGUGGGGAUUGGCUGUGCCCACAGAUGGAACAGCAUAUGCCUAGGCACAGAGUGUGACGUCACCAUUGGUUCUGACCAGCAGGACCAGAGGGACUUUGGGGUUUGCGGGUGCCCAGGCAGAGGCUGGAGAGGUGAGCAGAGGUCAGAUCCCAAAAGGUCUGGUGAGCUAAGCUACGCAAUUUGGGCUUUCGCACGAAAUGCACAGAGAGUCUUUGAAGGAGUCCAUGCAGGGGGGUAACAUGAUCAGAUUUGCUUCUUAAAUCGUCAUGAAAAUUUAUGUUCACGGAUUUGAUUUGUUCUUACGAAUUCGUGAAAACUUCCAAUCCCCGUCGCACACGGGAAAGAGAAAGUCACAUCUUCAAAAGUUAAAAUUGUCAAAGAACU
rnacentral:lncRNA from 1 species